rnacentral:rRNA from 1 species
AUUGAACGCUGGCGGCAGGCCUAACACAUGCAAGUCGAACGAGUGGCGGACGGGUGAGUAAUGUCUGGGAAACUGCCUGCUGGAGGGGGAUAACUACUGGAAACGGUAGCUAAUACCGCAUACCCUCAGAUGUGCCCAGAUGGGAUUAGCUAGUUGGUGGGGUAACGGCUCACCAAGGCGACGAUCCCUAGCUGGUCUGAGAGGAUGACCAGCCACACUGGGACUGAGACACGGCCCAGACUCCUACGGGAGGCAGCAGGAGGGAAUAUUGGGCAAUGGACGCAAGCCUGAUGCAGCCAUGCCGCGUGUGUGAAGAAGGUCUUCGGGUUGUAAAGUUCUUUCGGCAGGGAAGCGGUACCUACAGAAGAAGCACCGGCUAACUCCGUGCCAGCAGCCGCGGUAAUUC